AGUUUGAGAUUGAUGCGGAUGACUACAUCGUAUACGUGGA
rnacentral:sRNA from 1 species